UAUUUUCUAUUUAUAACUAUUCACUAUUCUUCUUAUUUCAUCUUAUCUAUCCAAAUGCUAUUUUGUUUAUUCUUGAGAAUAACUUAAUUUUCAUCCAAACGCAAAAUUAGUUUAGUUCUUGAUUAUAUAUGAAAUUGUACGUAUCCCUGAAAUAAGCAGUUCUUACUUAUACUCAAACCAAACAAAGCCCAAAAGUAUAAAGUUCAUAUAUAGUGAAGAAGAAGGAUAACACACAUUUCUACAGCAAAAACGGUGUAUAGAAACACUUUUAAAUAUCGGUACUGGUCCAAAAAAGUGCUGCUGACUAAAUUACCGACACUUUUUAAAAAUAUUGCUAUAUAUGGGGUCGCUAUAUGUGGGGCCG
rnacentral:lncRNA from 1 species